UACGAAGGGGGCUAGCGUUGCUCGGAAUCACUGGGCGUAAAGGGUGCGUAGGCGGGUCUUUAAGUCAGGGGUGAAAUCCUGGAGCUCAACUCCAGAACUGCCUUUGAUACUGAGGAUCUUGAGUUCGGGAGAGGUGAGUGGAACUGCGAGUGUAGAGGUGAAAUUCGUAGAUAUUCGCAAGAACACCAGUGGCGAAGGCGGCUCACUGGCCCGAUACUGACUCUGAGGCACGAAAGCGUGGGGAGCAAACAGG
rnacentral:rRNA from 1 species